CGAGUGCCCUUCUGGCCAGCCCCGAAGCCCGUGCCCUUUGGCCCUGGCUGCCCCUAGCUGGGCUUCCAGCGGGCCCAGGGGAAUAAGAACAGACGCGGCGUGCGGGAGAUUUCAGAAGAACCGGGGACACAGCAGCGGGCACAGGCAAAGACACAGUCACCAGCUUAUUACUCGGCACAGCAGUUUCUAGUCGGAGAACAUCACAUGGAAGGAAGAGGAGUGGCUGCCGCGUGGGGAUGAACCCGAAGCACACUGCGCAGUGGAGGAAGGAGGAGGAAGGAGGAGGAAGCAUGUCCCGUGACUCUGAAGUUUGGAUGCAAGAUCACCGUGAACCCCCUAAAUGUUGAGAAAUGGUUGAACGGUGCGGAAAGAAGGCCAUGCCUUCCAAAGAACCCCUUCUCCGCCAGCCCCCCCACUACCAAGUCUUUCUUCCUCCUUCCUUCCUCCUUCGCAAGGUUUUCAGGAGAGAGCUGACAUCUUUAAGGGAAGGAUAGGUGCAUUUUUUGGAUUAGCGAUGCUCUCUGCGGAGUACAGAUGAAGUCGCAUUGCCUCAUGGAGCUCAUGGCUACUAUCUUGGGAACCAACUGAAGCAGCUGGAGAAUUGAAGUCGUUGGCAUUCAUUGGACCGUCUCCAUUCCUUGCUGUAGACAGAAAGACACCGUUCUCAACGUGUUGAGUUUGUGAUCCUAGGGACCAAGCUUUGGCCUUUUACCACUAAGAUGAAAUGACUACAGACCCAUUGACUAAGGACCACAAAGGCUCACGUAAACAUAAGGAAAAGGGUGUGUAUCACUAAGGAUUAGGUUUAACUAAAAGGCAGACCUCCAUGGUAACACUGCUGACUUAAGACAGUGGUAUAUUUCUCUGUCUUGUGUAAAGGUCUGUAAGGUAAGUAAUCCAGGGAUGUUGUAGGAUCUCUAUUCCUCUAAGUCUCCAGGAACUCAAACUCCUUCUGGCUUGCUGCUUUACCAUCCCACUGGUGUGGUCCUUAUCCUCAUAGUCCAAGAAGGCAGCUAGAGCUCCAGCUCUCUCACCACAUUACAAGCAGUGGGAUGGAAAGAGUGACAGAGAUGAAGGGGAGCAUGAUGGUUGAGAUUAUGUGUCGACUUGACUGGCCGUGGGCUGCCCAGAUUAAACAUUA
rnacentral:lncRNA from 1 species